rnacentral:rRNA from 1 species
CCCUUAGAUGUUCUGGGCUGCACGCGCGCUACACUGAUGCACUCAACGAGUUUACGACCUUGUCCGAGAGGAUUGGGUAAUCUUUUUAAAAUGCAUCGUGAUGGGGAUAGAUUAUUGCAAUUAUUAAUCUUCAACGAGGAAUUCCUAGUAAGCGCGAGUCAUCAGCUCGUGCUGAUUACGUCCCUGCCCUUUGUACACACCGCCCGUCGCCCCUACCGAUUGGGUGAGCCGAUGAAACUCUCGGAUGUAGGCUAUUCAUAGCCCGCAGAAGAGAUUUGAAUCGUAGCGCUUAGAGGAAGGAGAAGUCGUAACA